rnacentral:misc_RNA from 1 species
AAAUAACAUUAUGAAUUGUGAAAUAACAUAUUAUGAUUUAUAUAUAGAGAACCUGUAAAAACUAUUUGUCUUUUAUAAAUAUUAUAAAUUUCGAAAUAAUGAAGCAUCUUUUAUUCUUCUUUUUUUUUAUAUUUUUUAGAAAUGGCACAUAUAUCUAUAAUAUCUAGCAUUUUCACUGCUAGUUAUAGGAAUGGGAAGUCUGCUUUAUUUUGACUAGACAUUACAAAGUGCACAUUGUACAGUAACUUGUCCUAUAAACUGCACUAAAAAAUGGUAUUUGAUAUUCAUAUAAAAAAGUUAUGAACAGUUAUAAAUUUAUCAUAUAUAUAGAGCAUACAAAAAAAGAAGUGAUAUUAAUUUUCCAUGAGAUUCAUCCAUAGCAGCUGCUCGCCUUUUUAUGCCUUCUAGAUAUAUUUCACGAUUAAACAGACCUCCACCAAGAGGAAUACUGUAAUAGA